UCCCAUUGCUCUUAAAACUCAUUUCCCUGCUUCUCGUGGUUUCCUUGCGUCUCUCCAUGCUUCCCUGGUGGGAGGGACUAAACGCAGGGAAACGACGCAAGGAUUUCAUUUGGUCACUGUACUCGCAUGUGAUUGGAAGUCUACAGUCGAUAAAGUGUUUUGAGUGGGCGGGUUCCCUACGUGAUAUGAUAUUCAAAUCCCGAUUUACGAGUUACGAGAAAGUUUAACCAGCGAUCGAUCGAUUACACAUUAUAUAUAUAUAUAUAUAUAUAUAUUAUAUUUAGUGUCUAGACACUGAGUUUUCACGUCCCCACCCCACCACUUUGCUCGUUUGCUGCGGGCAUCGCUGCUAGCGAAGACUUGGGUUGACAGAUUGCCUACCCGGUUCCGACCCUGCCUGUCCCUGACCUGCCUGCUCUGCCUGAUCCCUGAUCCUGCCUGUCCUUGGACUAUCCUGCCUUGCCUGCUCCCUGACCCUGCCUGUACCUACGUUGACCGCCUCACCUGCUCCCUGACCCUCUGCCCGGCCCUGACUCACCUUCUGCCCGCUGUCCUCUGAUACUGUUCUGCUGAUAUCCCUCUGCUCUGGUGGGGCUGUGCCCCACCUGCCCCUAAUGACCCGCCGCCACUGCAGGGGAUGUCCACUGCCGGCGACAGAACAGACCCGAAUCCAGCAGAUUUUUCAAGAUGACUACCGAUCUUCUCAUUGUCCAGCACACGCACAGUCAAAAAAAGGCACAGCAGAAACACGACAUUUGCCAUUUUCCAGUUCAGCACAACAGCAUCCACGAAGUUCCCGAAACAAAACCACGGACAGCAGCAAGGAAUAGGCAACCAGCAGUGUGGCAACACUCCGGUUUCUCCGCGAUAUCCCCCGAUCAGGCCUCCGCACCGGCAGAAGCAGAAAACAGCUGUGCAGGACUCCCCAGCGGAUGGCGGCCUUCAGCCGCGGGACUCCUCCGUUGCGAAAUCUCCUCCACACAGCAGCGACAGUGAGAAGCAGAGAUGACGACACCUGUUGUCCUCCGCAUUGUAAAUCUCCAAGCUCCAGGGGAUCGACAACAGGCUGUUGUGGUGCCUACCAAAGAGGCCCGUUUGUACAGGGAAAAGAGAAAGGCUUUUCCCACACCUCCGGUGGAGCUGCUCAGCAAGGCCACUGCCAUGGCCAAAGCGGAGAAGCUCCUUCGAGCCAAAGGGACACAUAAGCCCUCACGCCAGCAGUGCCUGGGAAAGCUGGUCUUGCCUUUUGGCCAAUAUAUCCACGCACCCUUUCACUGGCUAGUGGAGAAUGACGUGGGCUACAUCACAUUUCUCCUCGAUAGGCACAAGGGAGAAGUGGAGGACCCACACUGGAAGGGAGAAGUGGGGAACCGGUGGGUCAAAGACCUUCUGGCCGAAUAUGCCGAGAGCUUCCCUCAAGUCUCCUGUCUCCUCGAGGCUAAUGUGGAUAGGUGGAUCUACGGCCAAAAGGGCUUUGAGAACAGCACCUUUGCAGAGAUGUGGGAACUCUAUCGGCAAUUCCAAAGCCAAAAGGACAGUCCUGAGAAAAGCAGCGGUGUUCAGAGGGAAAGGGUAGAGUCAUAGCACAUAGAGCACAUAGGUCUGUGAGGAAGUGGUUGCGCCUACCAGUGACAGACAUCACCAGCGUGCAGUUAAAGAGGUUCCGCACCUACAUAAUGGACAAGUACAGUAGUGCUGAACAAACGAGUACGCUGGACUCAUCCUCGUGGCCAGGGGAUGAUGCCGAGCUGGUAGCUGCGAGCCAGGCUGUGGAAGAAGGCAA